rnacentral:lncRNA from 1 species
AAAUAAAGGGCCUGUCCAUAGCUCGGCGAACUGCUCCGUGGACCUCCCAGCGGGGCUGCUUUCUGAGGUGAUGGUCUCCUCGCUCCUUAGCCAGCCUGGUGGAGCCAGCUAUUGACGUUGGAAAGGAGUUGGAGGAUGGAGCACCAGAUACUGCUACACCAUCUCAUUGGCAUGGACCUAUAUGUGGCAGCAAGUCCAUCUCAUCGCUUUUGGUGAAAGUCAGUCCAGUUUGUAAAGAUUCUCAUUGUCACUGUAGACGAGGAACUGGGACACCAAAAGGAGAAACUGGCCACCCUUGUACCCUGUUCCCAAUCCUGGUCCAGCAUCACCCACAGAUGGCAAGGAGCUCUAGAGACCUCACCAGCCCCUGGGAUUGGUCACCCCACUCUUCUGUGGACAGAGAUUCCUGCUGGGAUCCUUUGAGGGCAAGCAGACCCUUCUUCCAGCUUGGACUGUGAACUCCACUGCAGCCGUAAGGACUGUCUGUGACAGUGAGCCCGAGAUGACUGGGCUCUGUGCUCCCUCCCAGCCCUCCAGUCCUUGGCCUGCCACAGAGAACUGAGCUCUUUUAUUAGCACCAUGAAUGUGACUGAUACAGCUAGCCAUUCCCUCGUGCGAAUGACUCAGUUUAUUAAUGCUCUGCUAAAGAUGGCUUCUUUGCUUGCCAGCAGCCUUAAACAGUAUUUCAUUAAAACUGGCUUAAUUAUUUUGAGAAGACGGCCCAAUUAAAAGCUAUACACUCCCUCUAU